AACUGAGGUGGGAAAUCAUCCUGGCCUCUGCUAGAGUGGGACAGGAGCCCUAAUGAGAAGUUGGAUGAACUUGAGAGGUUUGAAGGGCCGGAAUCUGCAGGCGUUCCUCAUAAAAUGGGCCUGAAAGCCUGAGCUAAAAGGAGGAGUCCAGAAUGAGGAUCUCCUGUUCAUGCUUCCGAGUGGCUGCUCACAGCUGGAAGCCAGAGUCUAGGGAGCCUGAGUGAUGUGCUUAGUACAUCCGGUUUUAUUCUUGGAGUGCAGAGCAAGGCAGAGAGGACAGAGAGUGAAUCUGGAGAAAGCAAAGACAGAAAAAAUAAAAUCACAAAAAAAUGUGCUUA